rnacentral:sRNA from 1 species
UAGAGUGUGGUAGGGGAGACUGGGAUUCCUGGUGUAGCGGUGAAAUGCGCAGAUAUCAGGAGGAACACCGAUGGCGAAGGCAGGUCUCUGGGCCACUACUGACGCUGAGAAGCGAAAGCAUGGGGAGCGAACAGGAUUAGAUACCCUGGUAGUCCAUGCCGUAAACGUUGGGAACUAGGUGUGGGUCUCAUUCCACGAGAUCCGUGCCGCAGCUAACGCAUUAAGCUCCCCGCCUGGGGAGUACGGCCGCAAGGCUAAAACUCAAAGGAAUUGACGGGGGCCCGCACAAGCGGCGGAGCAUGCGGAUUAAUUCGAUGCAACGCGAAGAACCUUACCAAGGCUUGACAUAUGCGAGAACGCUGCAGAGAUGCAGAACUCUUUGGACACUCGCAUACAGGUGGUGCAUGGUUGUCGUCAGCUCGUGUCGUGAGAUGUUGGGUUAAGUCCCGCAACGAGCGCAACCCUCGUUCUAUGUUGCCAGCACGUCAUGGUGGGGACUCAUAGGAGACYGCCSGGGUCAACUCGGAGGAAGGUGGGGAUGACGUCAAAUCAUCAUGCCCCUUAUGUCUUGGGCUUCACGCAUGCUACAAUGGCCGGUACAAAGGGCUGCGAAACCGCGAGGUGGAGCGAAUCCCAAAAAACCGGUCUCAGUUCGGAUUGGGGUCUGCAACUCGACCCCAUGAAGUCGGAGUCGCUAGUAAUCGCAGAUCAGCAACGCUGCGGUGAAUACGUUCCCGGGCCUUGUACACACCGCCCGUCAAGUCACGAAAGUCGGUAACACCCGAAGCCGGUGGCCCAACUCUUUGAGGGGGAGCCGUCGAAGGUGRGRMUSGYGAUUGGGAYUAAGUCGUAACAAGGUAGCCGUACCGGAAGGUGCGGCUGGAUCACCUCCUUUCUAAGGAGCACUGGUCGCGAAAGCGAUCCAGAGCCUGGUCUGUAGGCGUACGUCCUACACCAGGAGCUCAAGGGUGGAACAUCGAUUAUUUGGCGCUGACACCGACUCGUGUCGCAAGUACAAGUCAGGUCCUCGGACCUGGCAGUGGAACGCAAUCGAGAGGGUGCCGGCGCCUGACACGUUGUUGGGUCCUGAGGGCUUCGGGCGAAAGCUUGAACCUCAGGCCGGUAGAUCGGCCAGGACCCUCCCCACGGAUGAACCGCCGCACGGUGCUGUUGCACAGCGACCAGCGGUAGGCACCGAGACCGGGGAGGGGCCGCCCGUACCUUGAGAACUACACAGUGGACGCGAGCAUCUUUGUAAACUCAAGUUUAUAAGGGCAAACGGUGGAUGCCUUGGCACCAGGAACCGAAGAAGGACGUAGGAAUCUGCGAUAAGCCUCGGGGAGUCGAUAACCAGACUGUGAUCCGAGGAUUUCCGAAUGGGG